rnacentral:rRNA from 1 species
AGGGUUUGAUCCUGGCUCAGAGCGAACGUUAGCGGCGGGCCUAACACAUGCAAGUCGAACGAGAAAAUCCCUUCGGGGGUGAGUAAAGUGGCGCACGGGUGAGGAACGCGUAGGUAAUCUACCCUCUGGCGGGGGACAACACUCCGAAAGGAAUGCUAAUACCGCGUAAGACCACACUCACUAAGGUGAGAGUGGUAAAAGAUGGCCUCUUCUUGAAAGCUAUCACCAGAGGAUGAGCCUGCGUCCCAUCAGCUUGUUGGUAAGGUAACGGCUUACCAAGGCUAAGACGGGUAGCUGGUCUGAGAGGAUGAUCAGCCACACUGGCACUGGAACACGGGCCAGACUCCUACGGGAGGCAGCAGUGAGGAAUAUUGGGCAAUGGGCGCAAGCCUGACCCAGCCACGCCGCGUGAGUGAUGAAGGCCUUCGGGUCGUAAAGCUCUGUGGGGAGAGACGAAAAACUUCCAUUCGAAUAGGGUGGAAACUUGACGGUACCUCCUUAGCAAGCACCGGCUAACUCUGUGCCAGCAGCCGCGGUAAUACAGAGGGUGCGAACGUUGCUCGGAUUUACUGGGCGUAAAGCGCGUGUAGGCGGACUCGCAAGUCGGUUGUGAAAUCCCUGGGCUCGACCUAGGAACUGCAUCCGAAACUGCUUGUCUUGAGUAAUGGAGAGGGUGGCGGAAUUCCCGGUGUAGAGGUGAAAUUCGUAGAUAUCGGGAGGAACAUCCGUGGCGAAUGAGGCCACCUGGACAUUUACUGACGCUGAGACGCGAAAGCGUGGGGAGCAAAUAGGAUUACAUACCCUGGUAAUCCACGCCGAAAACGAUGAGCGUUAGUG